UACGUAGGGUGCAAGCGUUGUCCGGAAUUAUUGGGCGUAAAGAGCUCGUAGGCGGUUUGUCGCGUCUGCUGUGAAAAACUCGGGGGCUUAACCCCGGGCCUGCAGUGGGUACGGGGCAGACUAGAGUGCGGUAGGGGGAGACUGGAAUUCCUGGUGUAGCGGUGAAAAUGCGCAGAUAUCAGGAGGAACACCGGUGGCGAAGGCGGCAUCCUGGACCAAUACUGACGCUGAGGAGCGAAAGCCAGGGGAGCAAACGGG
rnacentral:rRNA from 1 species